rnacentral:rRNA from 1 species
UACGAAGGGGGCUAGCGUUGUUCGGCUUUACUGGGCGUAAAGCGCACGUAGGCGGAUCGAUCAGUCAGGGGUGAAAUCCCGGGGCUCAACCUCGGAACUGCCUUUGAUACAGCAAGUCUUGAGUUCGAGAGAGGUGGGUGGAAUUCCUAGUGUAGAGGUGAAAUUCGUAGAUAUUAGGAAGAACACCGGUGGCGAAGGCGGCCCACUGGCUCGAUACUGACGCUGAGGUGCGAAAGCGUGGGGAGCAAACAGG